UACAGAGGUGUCAAGCGUUGUUCGGAUUCAUUGGGCGUAAAGGGUGCGUAGGCGGCGCGGUAAGUCGGGUGUGAAAUCUUGGAGCUUAACUCCGAAACUGCAUUCGAUACUGCCGUGCUUGAGGACUGGAGAGGAGACUGGAAUUUACGGUGUAGCGGUGAAAUGCGCAGAUAUCAGGAGGAACACCCGUGGCGAAAGCGGCUCUCUGGGACGGUACUGACGCUGAGACGCGAAAGCGUGGGGAGCAAACAGG
rnacentral:rRNA from 1 species